UACAGGGGGGGCAAGCGUUGUUCGGAAUUACUGGGCGUAAAGGGUUCGUAGGUGGCCACUUAAGUCAGACGUGAAAUCCCUCAGCUUAACUGGGGAACUGCGUCUGAUACUGCGUGGCUUGAGUGCAGGAGAGGAAUGCGGAAUUCCCAGUGUAGAGGUGAAAUGCGUAGAUAUCGGAAGGAACAUCAGUGGCGAAAGCGGCUUCCUGGACCAGUACCGACGUUCAGGCACGAAAGCGUGGGGAGCAAACAGG
rnacentral:rRNA from 1 species